rnacentral:rRNA from 1 species
GAUGAACGCUAGCGGCAGGCUUAACACAUGCAAGUCGAGGGGUAACAGGAGUGCUUGCACUCGCUGACGACCGGCGCACGGGUGCGUAACGCGUAUAGAACCUACCUUUUACAGAGGGAUAGCCUUUAGAAAUGAAGAUUAAUACCUCAUAGUAUUGAGAGUUGGCAUCAACUUUUAAUUAAAGAUUUAUCGGUAAAAGAUGGCUAUGCGUCCUAUUAGCUAGAUGGUAAGGUAACGGCUUACCAUGGCUAUGAUAGGUAGGGGUCCUGAGAGGGAGAUCCCCCACACUGGUACUGAGACACGGACCAG